UUCAUUUCUCCCUUUAUUUCUUCCCCUUUUCUCCCGACGCCGAUCCCACCCUUUCCUCUUUCUCUCGGCGCCGGCCACCAUGAGUUCACCGCCAACAGCAGCCUUUCCCUCUGCCGUUGCCUCGUCGCCGCAGAGAUCUCAGUCUACCGCCGGCCUCUCCUUCUCUUCCUCUCCCGAGCGUCGGCCGCCGGCAAGUAUCCCGUGCCCUAGCGACCCGCGGCUCCCACACCCUCUCGAGACAUCGCCGACCACUGGAAUCCAGUGCCGCUGCUGUGCCCUAAGUCCUCGUACUCCACUGCCACCACCGAUUGGUCGGCACAGCUCACAGCCGCCGGCCACAGGAACCCUAAUGUCAACUCCUCCCUCUUGUCGUUGUCCGAUGAUGCCACCAUGCCCUGUCGCCACCUUGGUCGGAGGUGAUCAUCCCGCGGCCACUGCAGCCUUCCUUGUGCGCUGCUUGGUUGUUCGCCGACUACUCCUUGUUCUUGAGCCGUGCCUUAGACCCGAGCCAACAAGGAUCUCUAGCUUGUUCCGGCAGCCAACCUCUUCAACUUUGGAUCAACAGUGAUACAUUCAAAUUGAGGACUUUGUUUCGAGGCGAGCGUCUCGACGCGGGAUAGCUUAUCACGAUCGACA